rnacentral:rRNA from 1 species
UAACACAUGCAAGUCGAGGGGCAGCACAAGGAGCAAUCUGAGGUGGCGACCGGCGGCACGGGUGAGUAACACGUAUGCAACCUGCCUGUAAGCGGGGAAUAACCCGUUGAAAGACGGACUAAUACCGCAUAAUACUAAAUUACUGCAUGGUAAUUUAUUUAAACAUUUAUGGCUUACAGAUGGGCAUGCGCAUGAUUAGCUAGUUGGAGAGGUAACGGCUCCCCAAGGCAACGAUCAUUAGGGGUUCUGAGAGGAAGGUCCCCCACACUGGUACUGAGACACGGACCAGACUCCUACGGGAGGCAGCAGUGAGGAAUAUUGGUCAAUGGACGAGAGUCUGAACCAGCCAAGUCGCGUGCAGGAAGAAUGUCCUUAAUGGAUUGUAAACUGCUUUUGCAGGGGGAAUAAAGUGCAUCACGUGUGAUGUUUUGUAUGUACUCUGCGAAUAAGGAUCGGCUAACUCCGUGCCAGCAGCCGC